AACGUAGGUGGCGAGCGUUAUCCGGAUUUACUGGGCGUAAAGCGUGUGCAGGCGGGCUGUCAAGUGGUGUAUGAAAACGCCGGGCUUAACCGGGCGCUGGUAGGCCAGACUGACAGCCUGGAGUGCGAGAGAGGGGCGUGGAAUUCCGGGUGUAGUGGUGAAAUGCGUAGAGAUCCGGAGGAACCCCAGCGGCGAAGGCGGCGCCCUGGCUCGCAACUGACGCUCAGACACGACAGCAUGGGGAG
rnacentral:rRNA from 1 species